CCUACGGGCGGCUGCAGUGGGGAAUAUUGGACAAUGGGGGGAACCCUGAUCCAGCCAUGCCGCGUGUGUGAAGAAGGCCCUCGGGUUGUAAAGCACUUUCAGUGAGGAAGAACGCCUGGUGGUUAAUACCCAUCAGGAAAGACAUCACUCACAGAAGUAGCACCGGCUAACUCCGUGCCAGCAGCCGCGGUAAUACGGAGGGUGCGAGCGUUAAUCGGAAUUACUGGGCGUAAAGCGCGCGUAGGUGGCUUGAUAAGCCGGUUGUGAAAGCCCCGGGCUCAACCUGGGAACGGCAUCCGGAACUUUCAAGCUAGAGUGCAGGAGAGGAAGGUAGAAUUCCCGGUGUAGCGGUGAAAUGCGUAGAGAUCGGGAGGAAUACCAGUGGCGAAGGCGGCCUUCUGGACUGACACUGACACUGAGGUGCGAAAGCGUGGGUAGCAAACAGGAUUAGAUACCCGAGUAGUC
rnacentral:rRNA from 1 species